rnacentral:rRNA from 1 species
CGUGUCGUGAGAUGUCAGGUUAAGUCCCGUAACGAGCGCAACCCUCGUCGUUAGUUAUACGUGUCUAACGAGACUGCCCGUGAUAAGCGGGAGGGAGGUGAGGAUGACGUCAAGUCAGCAUGGCCUUUAUAUCCUGGGCUACACACACGCUACAAUGGCCAGUACAAUGGGCAGCCAAGCCGCGAGGCGGAGCCAAUCCCGUAAAGCUGGUCUCAGUUCGGAUUGCAGGCUGCAACUCGCCUGCAUGAAGUCGGAGUUGCUAGUAACCGCGCGUCAGCCAUAGUGCGGUGAAUACGUUCCCGGGGAUU